AGUGAACGCUGGCGGUAGGCCUAACACAUGCAAGUCGAACGGCAGCACAGUAAGAGCUUGCUCUUACGGUUGGCGAGUGGCGGACGGGUGAGGAAUACAUCGGAAUCUACUUUUUCGUGGGGGAUAACGUAGGGAAACUUACGCUAAUACCUCAUACGACCUACGGGUUAAAGCAUGGGAUCUUCGGACCUUGCGCGAUUGAAUUAGCCGAUUUCGGAUUAGCUAGUUGUCGGGGUAAAGGCCCACCAAGGCGACGAUCCGUAGCUGGUCUGAGAGGAUGAGCAGCCACACUGGAACUGAGACACGGUCCAGACUCCUACGGGAGGCAGCAGUGGGGAAUAUUGGACAAUGGGCGCAAGCCUGAUCCAGCCAUACCGCGUGGGUGAAGAAGGCCUUCGGGUUGUAAAGCCCUUUUGUUGGGAAAGAAAAGCAGCAGGUUAAUCCCCCGCUGUUCUGACGGUACCCAAAGAAUAAGCACCGGCUAACUUCGUG
rnacentral:rRNA from 1 species